AUUGAACGCUGGCGGCAGGCUUAACACAUGCAAGUCGAGCGGAGUGAUGGUGCUUGCACUAUCACUUAGCGGCGGACGGGUGAGUAAUGCUUAGGAAUCUGCCUAUUAGUGGGGGACAACAUCUCGAAAGGGAUGCUAAUACCGCAUACGUCCUACGGGAGAAAGCAGGGGAUCACUUGUGACCUUGCGCUAAUAGAUGAGCCUAAGUCGGAUUAGCUAGUUGGUGGGGUAAAGGCCUACCAAGGCGACGAUCUGUAGCGGGUCUGAGAGGAUGAUCCGCCACACUGGGACUGAGACACGGCCCAGACUCCUACGGGAGGCAGCAGUGGGGAAUAUUGGACAAUGGGGGGAACCCUGAUCCAGCCAUGCCGCGUGUGUGAAGAAGGCCUUAUGGCUGUAAAGCACUUUAAGCGAGGAGGAGGCUCUUUUGGUUAAUACCCAGAAUGAGUGGACGUUACUCGCAGAAUAAGCACCGGCUAACUCUGUGCCAGCAGCCGCGGUAAAAC
rnacentral:rRNA from 1 species